CGGGAAGCCCGUGGUGGCGGCGGCGGGCACGGCCGGGCGCAGGCGGCUGCCAGUCGGCUGAGUGGGCGAGGCCGCGCGGCCCGGACGGCCCGAGCGGGAGGGAGCGCGCCGCCGGCCGGUGGCGGCUGUCUCCCGGCUCGGCCCAGGCCCGGCGGGCGCGGGCAGCGCCCCAAGCGUGUCUUCCCUGCUCCUUCCUCCCGCCUCUCGCGGCCCCUCCGCCCGCAGCGCCCGCCCUCGGCUCCGCCCGCCGCCGCCGCCGGCGCAGCCCCUCGCGGUAACGGUCGGUAGCGGCCCGCGCGCGCCGCCCGCCGGGGGCUCGCGCCAGCCACGAGGGAGCGUCCGCGGCCCGCGGCCCGCGCGGCGGAGGAGAGGUGAGCCCGCGUCCCCCGUGCCGGCGCAUCCGCGUCCCCGCGUGGCCCCGAUGGACGCCGCCGGGCGCCCCGUGGGCACGGCCCGUGGGCGUGCAGGGCGGGCCUCUCCUGCUGUCGCGGUCCCCGGGCGGGCGCGCGUGGGCGUGUCCCCUCCAUCCACGCGCGGCGGCUUCACCCUCUCGGCUCUCGUCCAGGAUGCUGGUUUCUGAAAUGGAGCCAUGGAGAACCUACAGUUCAUAAUGGAGCUACUGUACUGGCUGUGGAAGGAGGAGAUUCUGAAGAUAGGGAGUCACUGGAAAAAUGUCAGCUUCUAGAAGGUAGCACACCACUGCCUCUGGAGAAUGCUGGGCACAGCGCCCCACUCAGUUCAGCUGGAUAAAUGCAGCUUGAUGGCGGAGAGGGUGAGCGCUGGGUUUAAGGCCUAGUGCGUCAGAGGACAUGGGCGUGCAGCCGGGAAGCCAGGAAAUGCUAAGAGGGAACAAAGAAGAGGGGGUGUGAGGGCUCAACGCUCUCUCCUCCGCUGUCACAGCAACCCGGGAGCCACGUCUGGAGCCAGCAAUGUCACUAAAUAAGGCAGCCUGGAUUGCUGAGUCAUCACGUGGACGAGGGCCCCCUGCUGAAUCAUCCAGUUCACAGAGCACUUGAGACUAGAUGGUUUGAUUUGAGCCACUCAUCUACACUCACGGGCUGGAUCCAUCUCGUGACCAGAGAAUGCACCAGAGGCCUGAGUGGGGUAAAGGGAAGGAGUCAGAGCCCUGGAUCAGAGAAAUGGCAUGUGAGAUCCAUGUGGACCUGAGCUUAUAAAGUCGUAAUUCCCCAGAGCUUCUUCACGACUCCAAAGAGUAUCAUGCCGGUUAUAUGGUGGGGCCAGAAAGACGGCUCUGCUGCCCAGGAUGGAUUAUACCAGGGAACAAAGUUUGUCCUCCUGAUACACCCGAUCUGGAAUGAUCAAUAAGGAACGAUCGGUGGUCAAUAAGGACACAUCCACGCGCUUUCGUUAAAAUACUCUGAGUUUUCAAGGACUCCUGGUUGACUACAGGUGGCCGUGUGGUUCUGAUGAAGCACGAGGCCAUGGAUAUUUGGAGCGGUCACUCUGUGCAGGGUCCAAAGCUGCAGAGCAGAAUGACUCAGGACAGACAGCAGGGGAACUCUAGAAGGCGUAACCUCCCCAGCAGAUGAGGUCUUGAUGGAUGACUCCUGAUUAUGGAGUCCUUUUCAUUUACAUUCUGGGUUGUUACCAGGAAUAAAUCCUACUGUUUCUAAUUAAUGCACUCAUUGUCUUUGUUUUGAAUGGAAAAGAGGGGAAAAUAUAUUGAUACUUCUGUAGCAACACAGGAAAUAUGCUUAAACUGGAAUAUCUUUCUCCAUCACAGGUAAUAUUAAUCUUUACAGUUCUCCAAAGUAAAUAAUUAUUGUAUAGUUGGCUUUCUAUUAGUAUGGAUUGGUGGUAUCCUUUGUGAAUUUCCAGGUGACAAUUUGUUGCAGGAAGCAUUCUCUCGAGAAACCGUUCUUAAGAUUAUUGUCCAAUUCCUCAGUGAAGAAUUAGGAGCCAAACUGGCUAGGCUAAACACACAACCAGUUAGCAACAGGCUGAUCUCGUCCUUCCGGGAUUCUUAGCUGUCCGAGGACUGACUGAUGAGGCCACAGAGGGCUCCUUGUCCAGCGAGUCCUCCCGUGGGAGGGGAGCAGCCACACCACAGCCUGUCCUGAGUGAGCCCAUCUUGUGUAUUUCCAAGUUUACAAGUGUGUGAGCCUUGCACACGCACCCGUUCCCUCUGAGGAGAGGAUGAUGCAAUGACGAAGGUGAGGAUGGCACGGCCACUGUGCCGCAUUCUCUGAAUAAUCUCCUUUCGUUCCAACAACAACAAUGGGAAAUGAAAAGAAUCUUCACGUUUUGAAACAAGAGCUUGGACAGAUGAUACAACUUGCCCAAGACCACAAGCUAUAAAUGGCGAAGUGAGGACCUGCCCUAGUUCUGUCUGCCCCCAGCGCAGUGCUUUCUGCCAUCGCCUGCACUGUCUCUACCGAAAUAAUGGCCUCCCUGUGGUAACCGUGAGAGGCUGGAAACGUGGGCCUGAGAGAACUUCUAAAUAUGAAAUUAUAACUCUUUGCCUGCUGAGAUUCUCAUUUUAAAAAACCCAGAGGAAGAUUAUAUUAAUAUAUUUAUUUAACACUUAUGUACAAUAUUUACAUUUACAAAAUGCUUUGUAGUGUAACAGAAUGGGCGGACAUUUUUAUUUGGGCAUAUAAUUGUCUUUUCGUUCAUAUUCAUUUAUUCCUUUGAUUUAUGUAAUAUGCUCUCCACUUGGUCUUCUGAGAUCAUGUACAAUGGUAACAAAUUUAAAAUAAGAUUAAUAAAAGAUUAUUUCAUAUCUCUCAUAGGGAAAACUGACGAGGGCCAUUCCAGUCUCUGUUCCUUAUAAAUAUUAUGCAAAAGAGCAUAAUACCGUCCCCAGAAUACUGUCUGUAACACUCGCUGUGCUUGUUCAUGGGGCUUUAAAGACAUACUUCGCUCCUAUUCGCUGUUUGUUGUGUGGUAUUCGCUUUUGCCUCAGGCGCUCAGGGUGCCCAGCAGCCGGGUGGGUACAGCUGUGAGUGACCCGGCUUUUCAUCAUUGAUCACCAAGCAAAAAUCCCCCAGAGAACGUUCUUGCUGACCGUCCCUUCCGCCGGGAAGUCUUUUUCCCCAGAUGGUCACCUAAGGGCCGUCUUCUCUUCAUUCAGGCCUCAAAUCAAGCAGCCUGCCCUGGCCCUGGGGCCAAAAGAGCCCGUCAGUGGCGUCCCCUGGCAUUCUUUUAUUUUCUCUUUAGCACCUCAUACUCUGUGUUAAGAACUCUAAGGUUCCAGAGUUUGGUGAGAAUGGAUAAAAAUAUACAUUGAUCAGCUAACGUGUCAUUUUUAAGUCACUGUGAUCUGCUUCACAAUGAGUCCUGUAAGCCCUCCCUUCAGUGGACAGCACGCUGAC
rnacentral:lncRNA from 1 species